rnacentral:rRNA from 1 species
UACAGAGGUCUCAAGCGUUGUUCGGAUUCAUUGGGCGUAAAGGGUGCGUAGGCGGCUCAGUAAGUCGGGUGUGAAACCCUCAGGCUCAACCUGGGGACGCCACCCGAUACUGCUGUGGCUAGAGUCCAGUAGGGGAGUGUGGAAUUCCCGGUGUAGCGGUGAAAUGCGCAGAUAUCGGGAGGAACACCAGCGGCGAAGGCGGCACUCUGGGCUGGCACUGACGCUGAGGAGCGAAAGCGUGGGUAGCAAACAGG